rnacentral:tRNA from 1 species
GGAAAGAUGGCUCAGUGGUUAAGAGCACUGGCUGCUCUUUCAGAGGGCCAGGGUUCAAAUCCUUGUUCCCCCA